AAACACACCCUAAGAAUCCCUGUGUUCGUGAUAUCUUGGUUCCAAUAACCUCGCGUCUGCGACACACCAACCCGAACCUUAGGUAGCGUCCCGGUCCGCGGUGCCAGCCACCGCGUGCCGCCGCCUGGGUCUUCCCUCCUCAGCUCCUUCCUGAGCUCGGCGGUGGAAUCACGGGAGGAGGCGGAAUAGUAAGCUGAGGCGGGGCCAUCGGGCUCCGUGGUUGAGGAUGCCUGUGCUGCGUAGCGCGGCGCGAAGGGCCCGAGAGGCGCAGGGGCAUCCGGCGGCAGCUGAUGAAAAAGCUCCGGAGGCGGCGGCAGCAGCAUUAGCAGCAGCCCCGGCACCACCGCCGGUGGAGAAGAGGCGGAGAGUGACGAGGGCGGAGGAGAGGGAGCGGGAGGAGAUCAGGCCUAGGGAGGUCGUCGCGGGAGAAGGCGGCGACGACGAGGGGGAGCGUGGGAUGGACGAACCGGACAGCGCGGCACGCAGCGCCGACAAGCUGACAUUCGAUGAUGAGGACGGCCCCACUGUCCCUGAAGCGGUCCAGGUGGGUAGUUCACCGAAGUAUAGAGUCGACAGGAAGCUUGGGAAAGGUGGUUUUGGCCAAGUAUAUGUUGGCCACCGCAUGUCAGCUACUGGUCCAGGUGCCGUCGAGGUGGCACUGAAGUUUGAGCAUAGGACCAGUAAAGGAUGUCACUAUGGCCCUCCUUAUGAAUGGACAGCUUACAACGCCAUUGGUGGCAUUCAUGGGUUUCCCCGAGUCCACUACAAAGGACGCCAAGGGGAUUACUUUGUUAUGGUUAUGGAUAUGCUCGGACCCAGUCUGUGGGAUGUCUGGAAUAAUAAAUCUCACAUAAUGUCAGUUGAGAUGGUUUCUUGUAUUGCUAUUGAAGCAAUCUGCAUACUUGAGAAAUUACAUUCAAAAGGGUAUGUUCAUGGCGAUGUCAAACCAGAGAAUUUCUUGCUAGGGACUCCUGGGACACCUGAAGAAAAGAAACUCUUCCUUGUUGAUCUUGGCUUAGCUACGAAGUGGAAGGAUAUUGCAACAGGGCGGCACGUUAAAUAUGAUCAGCGUUCAGAUGUUUUCAGGGGAACAUUUCGCUAUGCUAGUGUUCAUGCACAUCUUGGGAGAACAGGUAGCAGGAGGGAUGAUUUAGAAUCUCUAGCAUAUACACUAGUCUUUCUUCUACGAGGAUGUCUACCUUGGCAAGGUUAUCAGGGUGACAACAAAAGCUUCCUUGUCUGCAAGAAGAAAAUGGCCACCUUUCCAGUAUCUCUCUGUUGCUUUUGCCCACAUCCUUUCAGAAAGUUUGUAGAGUAUGUUGUCAACUUGAAGUUUGAUGAAGAACCCGACUAUGCAAAAUGUGCAUCACUUUUUCAUAGUGUACUAAGUGUAGUAGGUUCAAAUCCAGAUGUCAGACCAAUUAACACUGAUGGUGCUCAGAAGCUUAUACAUCAAUUUGGUCAAAAGAGAGGCCGAUUUUUUAUAGAGGAAGAAGCAGAUGAACAACCAAAGAAGAAGAUCAGGGUGGGAAUGCCUGCAACACAGUGGAUAAGUGUCUAUAAUGGCAGAGUACCUAUGAAACAAAGGUACCACUACAAUGUUUCAGAUUCAAGAGUUGGACAGCACAUCGAAAAAGGGAAUGCCGAUGGACUGUUUAUCAGUUGCAUAACAUCUUGUUCCGAUCUAUGGGCUCUAAUCAUGGAUGCUGGAACUGGUUUCACAUCCCAAAUUUAUGAGCUCAUUCCACAUUUCCUUCACAAAGAAUGGGUAAUGGACCAAUGGGAGAGGGACUACUAUAUAACUGCGGUUGCUGGGGCAAACAAUGGCAGCUCGUUGGUAGUGAUGUCUAAAGGCACAAAGUACACACAACAAUCCUACAAAGUUAGCAAUAGUUUCCCCUACAAAUGGAUAAACAAGAAAUGGCAAGAUGGUUUCUAUGUAACUUCCAUGGCAACUGCUGGAAGUAGGUGGGCUGUUGUCAUGUCUCAUAAUGCUGGGUUUUCUAAUCAGCCAAUGUAAGGAAGGAUGUUGCAAACAGAGUAGUUGCAUGCCUCACAAGAUCUCUAUCAUUUGUCUUGGUCCUCAUCAAGUCAUGAAUCAUUCCAUAUCCAUAGAUAAAUAAGGUGGUUGAACUGGAUUUCUUGUAUCCCAGCGAGGGAAUUCAUAAAAGGUGGGACAGGGGUUACUGGAUAACCGCAGCUCCUGCUACUUGUGAUCAGGCUGCUUUCGUUUUAAGUGUACCAAGGAGGCGACUUACAGAUGAAACCCAAGAGACACUGAGGACAAUUAAUUUCCCUAGUAAACAUGUGAAGGACAAAUGGUCUAAGAAUCUCUACCUAGCAUCGGUAUGCUAUGGUCGUACUAUAUCCUAGGGAUCUUUUCGAGCGGAAUCCUGCCAGCACCAUCUUUUGACGUAGGUAGUUCACUGUAGCAGCUCCUAUGUGCGGGUAUCCUGAGUCGUGUUGCGAAGGCGUCUGCUAUCGUUCUUGAUUAUAGACUAGCAUAUCAUGUACAACAGUACAUGUUUUGUACUACCUCUGUUCUCGAAUGUUUGUCGCCUGUGUUGAAUGCAAUUUUUGUGGAGCUGUUAGAGCAGGAGAUAUCCAGAGCCACCUGCCAGAAGAAAGCAGAGGAAGAAAAAAACAAAACAAAUUAUUAGUCGGUGUAUGGAUAUACAGUGAUAUACGGCCAGAAAAAGUGGAAGAAGAGCACCCCUACAAGCAUCUACGGAUGACCAAAUUGGCAUGGCCACAAGCACGGAAGUUUAUUAGGAUUAUUAUUCAUUUAGAUUAAAUUAGUUCCUAUUUUCUAGAGUAAGUCAGUUUUAUGUUUGGUCAGGGAUAAACUAGAAAGUGAAGUUGUUUAGAUAUUUAUGGAGUCGGUUCCUAUUUUCUAGGGUGAGUCGGUUGUAGAUGGAUUAUAAAGCCUUAUUGUAAUAAUGCAGAGAGGGCAAGACCUACAGUUAUCAUUUCAUUUAAUCUAGUAUCUAUUAUCUUCA